GGAUAGCGGAGAAAUUCCAAUCGAACUCGGAGAUAGCUGGUUCUCCUCGAAAUAGUUUUAGGACUAGCCUUGUUUAGUAGUAUGUGGGGGUAGAGCACUGAAUGAGCUAGGGGCCAAACCAGGUUACUGAACUCUAUCAAACUCCGAAUACCAUGUACGUAAGAACAGGAGUCAGACUGCGGGAGCUAAGUUCCGUGGUCAAAAGGGAAAGAGCCCAGAUCGUCAAUUAAGGUCCCAAAGAUAUAGUUAAGUGGAAAACGAUGUGAUUUUGCGUAAACAACCAGGAUGUUGGCUUAGAAGCAGCCAUUCAUUUAAAGAGUGCGUAAUAGCUCACUGGUCGAGUGAAGUUGCGCGGAAAAUUACCGGGGCUAAACUAUACACCGAAAUUGCGGAUUUGCAUGAAAGUGCAAGUGGUAGAGGAGCAUUCUAUAGUAGGACGAAGCAUAAUCGAAAGGAUAUGUGGACGAGAUAGAAGAGAGAAUGCCGGAAUAAGUAGCGAAAGCAUGGUGAGAAUCCAUGCCAUCGAAAGUCUAAGGUUUCCUGGGGAAGGUUCGUCCGCCCAGGGUAAGUCGGGACCUAAGGUGAGGCCGAAAGGCGUAGCCGAUGGAUAGCAGGUUGAGAUUCCUGCACCACCGAAAUACUUAAAAGAUGUAAGGGACACAGGAGUGGAAGGAAAGCGAGGAAGAGGAAAGACUCGUAUCGAAAGAUAUAGUGAAAAUAGAAAGUAACGAAUUUCCAAGAAGCACACUGGCGAGAAAAGCUUGCAGAUAUUGUAUAGAGGUGCCCGUACCGCAAACCGACACAGGUAGAUGAGGAGAGGAUCCUAAGAUGAGCGAGAGAAGCAUUGUUAAGGAACUCGGCAAACUGACCCCGUAACUUAGGGAGAAGGGGUACUGGGAUAAAACCCAGUCGCAGAGAAUAGUCCCAAGCAACUGUUUAACAAAAACACAGGUUUCUGCUAAAUCGAAAGAUGAAGUAUAGGAGCUGACGCCUGCCCAGUGCUGGAAGGUUAAGGGGAAGAGUUAGAUGUAAGUCGAAGCUUAGAACCAAAGCCCCAGUGAACGGCGGCCGUAACUAUAACGGUCCUAAGGUAGCGAAAUUCCUUGUCAGGUAAGUUCUGACCCGCACGAAAGGUGUAACGAUUUGGGCGCUGUCUCGGCAGCAGACUCGGUGAAAUCUUAGUACCUGUGAAAAUGCAGGUUACCCGCAACUAGACGGAAAGACCCCAUGGAGCUUUACUGCAGCCUGAUAUUGAAUUCUGGUCAUACAUGUACAGGAUAGGUGGGAGACAAAGAGACGUGCACGCCAGUGUACGAGGAGUCGCCGUUGGGAUACCACUCUUGUGUGACCGGGGUUCUAACCUGGUAUCGAGAACAGGUACGGGGAGAGUGUCAGGUGGGCAGUUUGACUGGGGCGGUCGCCUCCCAAAGAGUAACGGAGGCGCCCAAAGGUACGCUCAGAUUGGAUGGAAACCAAUCGUCGAGUGCAAUUGCAGAAGCGUGCUUGACUGUGAGACUUACAAGUCGAACAGGGACGAAAGUCGGGAAUAGUGAUCCGGCGGUGCCGAAUGGAAGGGCCGUCGCUCAACGGAUAAAAGCUACCCUGGGGAUAACAGGCUGAUCUCGCCCAAGAGUUCACAUCGACGGCGAGGUUUGGCACCUCGAUGUCGGCUCAUCGCAUCCUGGAGCUGGAUUCGGUUCCAAGGGUUGGGCUGUCCGCCCAUUAAAGCGGUACGCGAGCUGGGUUCAGAACGUCGUGAGACAGUUCGGUC
rnacentral:rRNA from 1 species